rnacentral:rRNA from 1 species
AAUUUUGGACAAUGUGGGAAACCCUCAUCCAGCCAUCCCGCGUGUAUGAUGAAUGCCNNNGGGUUNUAAAGUACUCUUGGCGGNGACNACAAGUUAUCCCCUAAUACGGGAUACUGCCAACGUUAUCAGCAGACUAAGCACCGGCUAACUACUAUCCAGCAACCGCGGUAAUACGUAGGGUGCAAGCGUUAACCGGAAUUACUGGGCGGAAAGCGUGUGUAGGCGGUUCGGGAAGAAAGAUGUGAAAAGCCAGGGCUCAACCUUGGAACUGCAUUUUUAACUGCCGAGCUAGAGUAUGUCAGAGGGGGGUAGAAUUCCACGUGUAGCAGUGAAAUGCGUAGAUAUGUGGAGGAAUACCGAUGGCGAAGGCAGCCCCCUGGGAGAAUACUGACGCUCAGACACGAAAGCGUGGGGAGCAAACAGG